GUAGAGGGCAAAACAUCUCCUUGAGAAACAGUGGACUAAGACUCUGUUAUUUUGAAUUUGAAUUCUGAGUGACUGUAGACACAGAGCCUGGAUUAGUGCUGUCAUACAAAAAAUCAGCCACAACAACACGCAUAUGGGAAAAGAACAGCAUUGUCAGGAAAAAAUGGACACUAAGAGAAAGAAGAAAGCAGAGUCCCAAGACAAAGAAUAUCUCUUGAUACUAUUAAAUAUAGAUGUCUGGACUGAAUUGAGCUUACACGACAAUUGCAGUCAAGAUUCUGCAACUCAGAACGGGCAAACCAGGAAGAAUAUGAAGUCAAGGAAGACCAUCCACAGAAAAGAUGCUUGCCAAACUCCCAGGUUCCUGGCAGAAUGAAUAAUGUGAAUAAAAUGCAUGUUUAGUCCAACAGUCCUUCUUAAGUGGUAUAUAAAUAAAUAGUAUACAAUAAUAGAUUUUGUAUGGUGCAAUUGUUUUUAUUCAGAAAUGUAGAUACAUAGAAAUACAGUAUCUUAAAAACAUAGGAAGUUCCAGGGCUGCCCACUUACUGCUUCCUGUAUCAGGCGGCAUGAGAGUUACUGAGGAUACAAAGAUGAGUGAGACACUGCCCUGUAAAGCCAUAAUUGAGUUCACCUUUAUGAAUCUGUGUCUUAAUUCUGACACAUCAUUUGAAAGUCAUUUUUGGGGUAAAGGGGAAGGAAUCAGGAGAAGAUUAGAAAAAUCUCCAAUGACAUCUUAAUUAUAAAGGUAGGGGAAGCUUUGUUUUGGA
rnacentral:lncRNA from 1 species